UAUUUCGGAAAGAAUUGGACCUCGAGACCCAAAUCAGGAAGAAAAUGGACAGAAGAAGAAGGGUGAAAUAGUUAAUUUAAUUUAACAAAUUGUGAGCCGAAAAGGGUAUUGGCCACACAGUGAGAAACCCGCACUGGGCCCUUCAACUUCG
ncrna:unclassified sequences IMES-5 RNA